ACGCGAGCUGGGUUCAGAACGUCGUGGGACAGUUCGGUCCCUAUCCGUCGCAGGCGUAGGAAAUUUGAGAAGACCUGUCCUUAGUACGGGAGGACCGGGAUGGACGUACCUCUGGUGUACCAGUUGUUCUGCCAAGGGCAUGGCUGGGUAGCUGUGUACGGAAUGGAUAAGCGCUGAAAGCAUCUAAGCGCGAAGCCAACUUCAAGAUAAGAUUUCCCACCGCAAGGGUAAGACCCCAGAAAGACUAUCUGGUUGAUAGGUCGAAGGUGUAAGUGCAGCAAUGUAUUUAGCUUAUCGAUACUAAUAGGUCGAGGACUUGACCAAU
rnacentral:rRNA from 1 species